ACAAAUAGGAGCUCAACCGGACAAUAUUUAAGAAGGAUACUUGUAUUCUUUAUAACAAGAAAUCAAAGAUGAAGAUCUACCUAAUAUUGUUUCCAAUGUAUUUUGUGCUGUCAAACCAAACUUCAACUUCCACAUCACCUUUAGUAGAAUUUACUAAUCUUAAUAAUGCAACAACACCAACAUCAAGCACAAGCUAUAUUUUAUCAAAUACAACGUUAAUAUGGAGUACUGCUCUUGACAUAGGCAACUAUUCAACUGAAUCGUCUGUAAGCUUAACACCAAUAAGUGGAUCAAGUACAACCACGCAAAUCCAAACAGAAUCUUCCACGGCUAACUCAACAUCAGGCAUUGCAAUCACAGCCAGUAAUGCAUCUUCAGAAGCAGCAGUGACACCCACGUCAUCUCCAGCGAACGUAACUACAUCAUCAAAUGAUGUAACUCAAACAACAAAAGUUACAGCUGUUCAAACUCCAUUAACACCAUCAGCACCAACAUCAAUAUUAAAACUCAUAAUAACAACACAAACAACUGAAAAUGUACGCACAGUAUAUCCACAAGCAUCCAUUCGUUCACCUUUACCAACAAUAUUUCUAUCAACAUUAGGACAAACACAAACAACCACACCACAAUCAUCAAAAUCCUUAGCAGUGACGUCAUAUGUAUCACAAUCAUUAACACACUUAACAAACACACCAGCUGUAACACAAUCAUCAGAACCCACAACAUACACACAAGCUAUAAUACAAUCACCAGAACCCACAACAUACACACCAGCUGUAACACAAUCAACAGAACCCACAACAUACACAUCAGCUGUAACACAAUCAUCAGAACCCACAACAAACACAUCAGCUAUAACACGAUCAACAGAAACCACAACAAACACUUCAGCUGUAACACAAUCAUCAGAACCCACAACAAACACUUCAGCUGUAAUACAAUCACCAAAACUCACAACAAACCUAUUAGAUGUAACACAAUCAUCAGAACCCACAACAUACACAUCAGCUGUAACACAAUCAUCAGAACCCACAACAUACACAUCAGCUGUAACACAAUCACCGGAACCCACAACAUACACAUCAGCUGAAAUACAAUCAUCAGAACUUACAACAUACACAUCAGCUGUAACACAAUCAACAGAACCCACAACAUACACAUCAGCUGUAACACAAUCAUCAGAACCCACAACAUACACAUCAGCUGUAACACAAUCAUCAGAACCCACAACAUACACAUCAGCUGUAACACAAUCAUCAGAACCCACAACAUACACAUCAGCUGUAACACAAUCAUCAGAACCCAUAACAUACACAUCAGCUGUAUCACAAUCAUCAGAACCUACACCAAACCUAUUACCUGUAACACAAUCAUCAGAACAAACAACAUACACAUCAGCUAUAACACAAUCAUCAGAACCCACAACAAACACUUCAGCUGUAACACAAUCAUCAGAACCCACAACAAACACUUCAGCUGUAAUACAAUCACCAAAACUCACAACAAACCUAUUAGAUGUAACACAAUCAUCAGAACCCACAACAUACACAUCAGCUGUAACACAAUCAUCAGAACCCACAACAUACACAUCAGCGCUAAUACAAUCAUCAGAACCCACAACAUACACAUCAGCUGUAACACAAUCAUCAGAACCCACAACAUACACAUCAGCUGUAUCACAAUCACCAGAACCUACACCAAACCUAUUAGCUGUAACACAAUCAACAGAACCCAAAACAAACACAUCAGCUGUAACACAAUCAUCAGAACCCACAACAUACACAUCAGCGGUAAUACAAUCAUCAGAACCCACAACAUACACAUCAGCUGUAACACAAUCAUCAGAACCCACAACAUACACAUCAGCUGUAACACAAUCAUCAGAACCCAAAACAAACACAUCAGCUGUAACACAAUCACCAGAACCCAUAACAUACACAUCAGCUGUAACACAAUCAUCAGAACCCACAACAUACACAUCAGCUGUAACACAAUCAUCAGAACCCACAACAUACACAUCAGCUGUAACACAAUCAUCAGAACCCACAACAUACACAUCAGCUGUAACACAAUCACCAGAACCCAUAACAUACACAUCAGCUGAAAUACAAUCAUCAGAACCCACAACAUACACAUCAGCUGUAACACAAUCAUCAGAACCCACAACAUACACAUCAGCUGUAACACAAUCAUCAGAACCCACAACAUACACAUCAGCUGUAACACAAUCAUCAGAACCCACAACAAUCACAUCAGCUGUAACACAAUCAUCAGAACCCACAACAUACACAUCAGCUGUAACACAAUCACCAGAACCCAUAACAUACACAUCAGCUGUAAUACAAUCAUCAGAACCCACAACUUACACAUCAGCUGUAAUACAAUCACCAAAACUCACAACAAACCUAUUAGCUGUAACACAAUCAUCAGAACCCACAACAUACACAUCAGCUGUAACACAAUCAUCAGAACCCACAACAUACACAUCAGCUGUAAUACAAUCAUUAGAACCCAUAACAUACACAUCAGCUGUAAUACAAUCAUCAGAACCCACAACAUACUUAUCAGCUGUAACACAAUCACCAAAAUCCACAACAAACACACCAGCUGUAACACAAUCACCACCUUCAAUAGUGACAUCGUCUGUUUCACCACCAGCAAGAUCGACAAAAGCUACUGCGUCAUCGACUAAAACAACCGAACUGAAGACGUCCUUAUCCGUGGAACAAAACAUAAAAACUACACAUCAACCCUCUCUGGCAACAAUCUCAUCUAGUACAGAAGGACAGAACAGAGCUGUUAGAAUAAGCAAAGGCUCAUGGGAAGUGUGGAUAGGGUGCGCUAUAGUUCUAAUGACAUUACCAAGUCAUCAUUAAUUGUAGUACAUAGUACACGUGAUAAUGUAGAAAACAGCCUUGUAGUUUUGUUGGUAACUGCACGUUUAUACACAUAUAUUCAUGUCAUUUCAAAAUAGGCCUAAAUUGAGAGAGAGAGAGAGAGAGAGAGAGAGAGAUCCCUUAACUUACAGGCGGGCGAAAACGUACAAGUCAGUGAUAUACAUGUACAUUUCAGAUUUAAUUUGAAAGAGUGGUUUUUGUUGAACACGUAAUUAAAUCGUAAUGAUUGGUGCUGUUUGUGGGUUUGUUUGUGUUUUUUUUUUAUAUUUUUAAUUUGUUGGAUAUUGUUGUUGUUACUGUUGUUCACAUAGUUGUUAAAAACUAAAAAGAUAUCGAUUUUAUGGUAUUUUUUGCUAUUGUGUGAGAAGUGCAUUAUUGUAUAUGAACGAAUAUACAUAUUUUCCUAACAAGAUGAAGUCAGUUUGUAUUUCAGCUAAUAGUAUGUUUUGCACAUCAAAUAUAUUAUAGACCUUCAUGGUUUUAUCAAAAAUCUUUUAUAAAACAUUUUCAUAAAAAGUAAAGGAACAUGUAUUGUAUUUGCAAUUAUGAGUACAUAUAAUUAUGUAAACUGUGAUAAUGACGGUUAAAGAAAAGAUUAGUUUUUUACGUGAGGAAUCAGUAACGAAGCAUCCGGUAAUUUUUGCAGUGGGGAAUACAAAUAUUCAUACAAGUUAUUUGCAACAGUAAUAAUUGUCAAAUAUUCUCCACAAACACCGCCACUGUCUGAAAAGACAAAUGUUUGUACUUUGUAUUUAUGUAACGAAAACAAUUUUACUAAUUGGAGUACUUGUAUAUUUCUUUAUUGAACAUUAUAUAAAAGACUUCUACAAAGAC
rnacentral:sRNA from 1 species